UACGUAGGGACCGAGCGUUGUCCGGAAUCAUUGGGCGUAAAGAGCGUGUAGGCGGCCACUUAAGUCCUGCGUGAAAUCUUGCGGCUCAACCGCAAGCGGUCGUGGGAAACUGGGUGGCUAGAGUGCGGGAGAGGAGAGUGGAAUCCUGGUGCAGCGGUGGAAUGCGCAGAUAUCAGGAAGAACACCCGUGGCGAAGGCGGCUCUCUGGAACGCAACUGACGCUGAGACGCGAAAGCGUGGGGAGCAAACAGG
rnacentral:rRNA from 1 species